rnacentral:rRNA from 1 species
CGGGGUGCACCAGGCGCGAAAACUUUACAAUGCGGGAAACCGUGAUAAGGGGACACCGAGUGCCAGCAUCAUAUGCUGGCUGUCCAGGUGUGUAAAAUACACCUGUCAGCAAGGGCCGGGCAAGACCGGUGCCAGCCGCCGCGGUAACACCGGCGGCCCGAGUGGUGAUCGUGAUUAUUGGGUCUAAAGGGUCCGUAGCCGGUUUGGUCAGUCCUCCGGGAAAUCUGACGGCUCAACCGUUAGGCUUUCGGGGGAUACUGCCAGGCUUGGAACCGGGAGAGGUAAGAGGUACUACAGGGGUAGGAGUGAAAUCUUGUAAUCCCUGUGAGACCACCUGUGGCGAAGGCGUCUUACCAGAACGGGUUCGACGGUGAGGGACGAAAGCUGGGGGCACGAACCGGAUUAGAUACCCGGGUAGUCCCAGCCGUAAACGAUGCUCGCUAGGUGUCAGGCAUGGCGCGACCGUGUCUGGUGCCGCAGGGAAGCCGUGAAGCGAGCCACCUGGGAAGUACGGCCGCAAGGCUGAAACUUAAAGGAAUUGGCGGGGGAGCAC